UUUGCGGUCGGUCAGAGUUUUGUCACAAUAAGCGCAGGCGACAGUAUGGCGCGAGUGCGUAUAUUUCCGAGAACAAUCAGCGACACUUUUAUCGUGGCAAUAUUUUAUUGAAAAACGAACUGUUGGGGAAAAUAUUAAUUAUUAGGAAGUAUAGUCGUUGAGGGAAAUCAUUUUAGAGGGAGAUUGAGGGGGGGGGGAGAAAACAGAUUGGCCCACAAUUAUCUACCUGCAGUCCGCCGAAAGACGUUUCGGGAUUUCGUCACGUUAUAUUACGUGUGUUUCGGGUUACUACGUGUAUUUUUUAUUCAUUUGCUUU